UACAGAGGGUGCGAGCGUUGUUCGGAAUUAUUGGGCGUAAAGGGCGCGUAGGCGGUGCGGUAAGUCACCUGUGAAAUCUCCUGGCUCAACUGGGAGCUUGCAGGCGAAACUGCCGUGCUGGAGUGUGGGAGAGGUGAGUGGGAUUCCCGGUGUAGCGGUGAAAUGCGUAGAUAUUGGGAAGAACACCGGUGGCGAAGGCGGCUCUCUGGACCGUAACUGACGCUGAGGCGCGAAAGCUAGGGGAGCGAACAGG
rnacentral:rRNA from 1 species